rnacentral:lncRNA from 1 species
CCCAGCUCUGCUGCAGGAGCGGCAAGUGGAAGCAAGAACGUGCUUGGGAUCUCGCUGUAAAAAACAGGGUCUAAAUCAGUUGCCGACCCUGUGCUGGCAUCGCAUGUGGUGUAGAAAUCCCCUCUCCGUGGCCUUGGACCUCAGCAGCUCCCUGCUGCAGCUCGUCACCCUGCCUCUGGCUAACGAACUCCCGCAAAACUCCACGUCCUCACCAAGAAACGAGCAAAUCCAGCCACAGCUCUUGUGCUGGGACCUUCCAGGUGGAGACGGUGCGUUGCUGAGCUCCCGCUGUCCUCUCCCAUCUCCCGCUGAAUGACUGAGCUUGUGAAUCAACAGACCAAAAACUCUCCAAAUGGCAUGGGAUGCCUCACUGCUUCUCACAUGGUUCUGCUGGAGCUGCAAGCUGGGCAGGCCAGGAGGAACCGGCAUGCCGGGCAAAUGCUGGCAGGUGUCACAUGCAGACCAGUGGAGCAUGUUGUCCUCUGCUUGCUGGCCGCCGCUGUGUCUCCCUUGUUCGUUUUGGUCCAACUAACCCCAGGCGGGAAGCCAGCUGCUUCAGCCAGGGGAAAUGCAGGAGCAGAUCUGGAACCCUCUGUCUGUGCUCUGUAGCGCCUUUAUUCUGCGAGUUCGCACAAGAAACUCAAACCUCCAUCCAGCGUGGGAAAGCACUUCUUCAUGUGCUCAACUUCAGCUGGGUGAGAGCUGGUGAAGUACUUCCAGAGCCCGUGUGCAUGGGUGAGAGGGCAGAGCCCCAGCGGCUGAGCUGCCCUCCCGGCUCGGGGCUUAGCUGGAUGAGGCUGCCGGUCCCUGUUACCAAGUGGUCAAGCCGGGCACUGGCACAGGAAACCUCCCCUGGCGGCACAAGGAGAGAUUUGAACUGA